GUAUCGCUGGGGACAGAGAGCAGUUGUUAUUUGUGUUCUAAAUCACUGUUUACAAACUACCAUUGUGAUUCAUAAUGAGAGUGACAUACUAAAUAUGGAAAACAAAAUGAGAUAAACUGUCUGAGGCCAACACUGCUAAUAACCGUCCGUUUGCGGUGAACGGUCAAGUUUCAGUUUCCCUUGGUGAUUGUGGUAGGCCGAUUCAAACUGGGAAAGCUCUUACUUGAACCAAAUUUAUGCGAAGCUGGACCAAACUUCUGAGAGGGUUUUAUUGGAACAUAACAAAUAUCAACAGUUAGCAGUGCUUGUUAAUUAACUCUAUCAGAUUCUCAUGAGGCCAUCGCUCAGUCGUGCCCUUAACUCGCAGGUGCUUCUCGGACGACCCGACCCACUGACGCUGCCAACGCUUUCUCACAUCGGUCUUUACUGCUUGCACAGCGUCACCGGGCCGGAUCGCGGUAGCAUAGUCUGGAGGGCUUCCAGCCCGACGUGACCGGGUACCGAGACAACUACUACCGUUUUCCCCAGGAGCUCCAGCUCAGCAUAUCUUUCUAAAAGGAGCACGUCAAAAGGGUCCGUGGCGAAUCUGGCCUGGAUGGCAGAUACUGCACUCAGGGAGUCCGUACAGACAAGGAAGGCAGUGAAGAUAUAAUUCGGUUUUCUAUAUCUCGUGUCGUAAUAAAAUAAUAAGGAAAACAGAAUACUCUCUUACAAUUAAAAUUCUGUCUGAGUAACUAUGUAUAAAGUUUUUUUUAAAUAUACUUUUCUUCGGCACA